rnacentral:rRNA from 1 species
GGAGUUAGCCGGUGCUUCUUCUGUGAGUGAUGUCCUUCCUGCCGGUUAUUGACCCGCAGGCCUUCUUCCUCACUGAAAGUGCUUUACAACCCGAAGGCCUUCUUCACACACGCGGCAUGGCUGGAUCAGGGUUGCCCCCAUUGUCCAAUAUUCCCCACUGCUGCCUCCCGUAGGAGUCUGGGCCGUGUCUCAGUCCCAGUGUGGCUGAUCAUCCUCUCAGACCAGCUACGGAUCGUCGCCUUGGUGAGCCGUUACCUCACCAACCAGCUAAUCCGACAUAGGCUCAUCCGAUAGCGCGAGGCCCGAAGGUCCCCCGCUUUCCCCCGUAGGGCGUAUGCGGUAUUAGCCUGGGUUUCCCCAGGUUAUCCCCCACUACCGGGCAGAUUCCUAUGCAUUACUCACCCGUCCGCCGCUCGCCACCAGGGAGCAAGCUCCCCGUGCUGCCGCUCGACUUGCAUAUGUUAGGCCUGCCGCCAGCGUUCAAUCUGAGCCAGGAUCAAACUCUGA